UUUAUUGGAGAGUUUGAUCCUGGCUCAGGAUGAACGCUGGCGGCGUGCCUAAUACAUGCAAGUCGAGCGAAUGGAUUAAGAGUUUGCUCUUAUGAAGUUAGCGGCGGACGGGUGAGUAACACGUGGGUAACCUGCCCAUAAGACUGGGAUAACUCCGGGAAACCGGGGCUAAUACCGGAUAACAUUUUGAACCGCAUGGUUCGAAAUUGAAAGGCGGCUUCGGCUGUCACUUAUGGAUGGACCCGCGUCGCAUUAGCUAGUUGGUGAGGUAACGGCUCACCAAGGCA
rnacentral:rRNA from 1 species